GAUAAAUUAUGCACUAAACGCUAACUUUUAGCGCAUGGCUCUCCUAGGAGCCAUUUCCCUAGACCGAAUAUAGGAAUCGUAUUCGGUAUUUUUUU
rfam:Serratia symbiotica str. Tucson genomic scaffold scaffold00192, whole genome shotgun sequence.